GACGAACGCUGGCGGCGUGCUUAACACAUGCAAGUCGAACGGAAAGGCCCUGCUUUUGUGGGGUGCUCGAGUGGCGAACGGGUGAGUAACACGUGAGUAACCUGCCCUUGACUUUGGGAUAACUUCAGGAAACUGGGGCUAAUACCGGAUAGGAGCUCCUGCUGCAUGGUGGGGGUUGGAAAGUUUCGGCGGUUGGGGAUGGACUCGCGGCUUAUCAGCUUGUUGGUGGGGUAGUGGCUUACCAAGGCUUUGACGGGUAGCCGGCCUGAGAGGGUGACCGGCCACAUUGGGCCUGAGAUACGGACCAGACUCCUACGGGAGGCAGUGGUGGGGAAUAUUGCACAAUGGGCGGAAGCCUGAUGCAGCAACGCCGCGUGCGGGAUGACGGCCUUCGGGUUGUAAACCGCUUUCGCCUGUGACGAAGCGUGAGUGACGGUAAUGGGUAAAGAAGCACCGGCUAACUACGUG
rnacentral:rRNA from 1 species